CCGUAGGUGAACCUGCGGAAGGAUCAUUAACGAAUCAAACAAGUUCAUCUUGUUCUGAUCCUGUGCACCUUAUGUAGUCCCAAAGCCUUCACGGGCGGCGGUUGACUACGUCUACCUCACACCUUAAAGUAUGUUAACGAAUGUAAUCAUGGUCUUGACAGACCCUAAAAAGUUAAUACAACUUUCGACAACGGAUCUCUUGGCUCUCGCAUCGAUGAAGAACGCAGCGAAAUGCGAUAAGUAAUGUGAAUUGCAGAAUUCAGUGAAUCAUCGAAUCUUUGAACGCACCUUGCGCCCUUUGGUAUUCCGAGGGGCAUGCCUGUUUGAGUGUCAUUAAAUACCAUCAACCCUCUUUUGACUUCGGUCUCGAGAGUGGCUUGGAAGUGGAGGUCUGCUGGAGCCUAACGGAGCCAGCUCCUCUUAAAUGUAUUAGCGGAUUUCCCUUGCGGGAUCGCGUCUCCGAUGUGAUAAUUUCUACGUCGUUGACCAUCUCGGGGCUGACCUAGUCAGUUUCAAUAGGAGUCUGCUUCUAACCGUCUC
rnacentral:rRNA from 1 species